GACGAACGCUGGCGGCGUGCCUAAUACAUGCAAGUCGAGCGAAUCGAUGGGAGCUUGCUCCCUGAGAUUAGCGGCGGACGGGUGAGUAACACGUGGGUAACCUGCCUGUAAGACUGGGAUAACUUCGGGAAACCGGAGCUAAUACCGGAUACUUUCUUUUCUCGCAUGAGGGAAGAUGGAAAGAUGGUUCUGCUAUCACUUACAGAUGGACCCGCGGCGCAUUAGCUAGUUGGUGAGGUAACGGCUCACCAAGGCGACGAUGCGUAGCCGACCUGAGAGGGUGAUCGGCCACACUGGGACUGAGACACGGCCCAGACUCCUACGGGAGGCAGCAGUAGGGAAUCUUCCGCAAUGGACGAAAGUCUGACGGAGCAACGCCGCGUGAGCGAAGAAGGCCUUCGGGUCGUAAAGCUCUGUUGUUAGGGAAGAACAAGUACGAGAGUAACUGCUCGUACCUUGACGGUACCUAACCAGAAAGCCACGGCUAACUACGUGCCAGCAGCCGCGGUAAGAC
rnacentral:rRNA from 1 species